CAGCAGGGGACAGCUGCAAAGCAGGAGAUGGAAGGCUGAGGAUGUGUCUGUAACAGAUGGCCCCUGCUUUCCAGGGCGUGGAGGACAGCACUUGGGGAGUGGAGGCCUCACUCUAAGGUGGCCGGGAAGAGAGCUGUUACCAACAGAAGUGUGGAUGCCUGUCACUUAAGUGUUUCACUGCACGGGUCUGCGGGAAUCAUUCAGUAAUGCAAGGGCACACCUGGCAAAAUCAGGUCCCCACAAAGCCA
rnacentral:lncRNA from 1 species